rnacentral:siRNA from 1 species
GCGUGGUGUCCGGUGCGCCCC